rnacentral:rRNA from 1 species
ACGAACGCUGGCGGCGUGCUUAACACAUGCCAGUCGAACGGAAAGGCCCUGCUUUUGUGGGGUGCUCGCGUGGCGAACGGGUGAGUAACACGUGAGUAACCUGCCCUUGACUUUGGGAUAACUUCAGGAAACUGGGGCUAAUACCGGAUAGGAGCUCCUGCUGCAUGGUGGGGGUUGGAAAGUUUCGGCGGUUGGGGAUGGACUCGCGGCUUAUCAGCUUGUUGGUGGGGUAGUGGCUUACCAAGGCUUUGACGGGUAGCCGGCCUGAGAGGGUGACCGGCCACAUUGGGACUGAGAUACGGCCCAGACUCCUACGGGAGGCAGCAGUGGGGAAUAUUGCACAAUGGGCGGAAGCCUGAUGCAGCAACGCCGCGUGCGGGAUGACGGCCUUCGGGUUGUAAACCGCUUUCGCCUGUGACGAAGCGUGAGUGACGGUAAUGGGUAAAGAAGCACCGGCUAACUACGUG